rnacentral:rRNA from 1 species
AUGUUCAAGGACGUGGGACUUGACAUGUCCGUUUAUGGCUACCUGCUUCCCUUACUCGGCCAUAAAGUAGCUCCUGCCGCUGAUGCUCCCAACUCAUCCACGCAGGUUCACACAAAGAGACGCAGCAGGCUGGUGCAUGACAAGAUGAGUGACCUUGUUUUCAUCAAGUUCAACUCCAAACUGAAGGACAAGAAACUAAACAAACUCAAGGACCCCAUUGAGAAGCAGGUGGUAGAUGUUUUAGAAGAUGAUGAGAAUGAAUGGAUCACUGGUGUGGUGCCUAAUGGUGAUGAAGAACAAGUUGAAGGUGAAGAUCAAGAUCAAGAAAUUCCAUAUGCAAGCUCGCAUGCUGGACCAGGAACUUCUGCUAUUAAUCCCCUUAAAAGGAAGAGGGGUGUCUAUGGUAAGAAGAAGAAGAUGAUGAUCCCUGUUACUCCUCAAGAAGAUCUGCUCUCUGCUUCCUCUGCUUCAGAAAGUGACGACGACGAGGACACCAACAUGAGUUCUGGUUCUGACAUGUGA